GAUGAACGCUGGCGGCGUGCCUAAUACAUGCAAGUCGAGCGAACGGACGAGAAGCUUGCUUCUCUGAUGUUAGCGGCGGACGGGUGAGUAACACGUGGAUAACCUACCUAUAAGACUGGGAUAACUUCGGGAAACCGGAGCUAAUACCGGAUAAUAUUUUGAACCGCAUGGUUCAAAAGUGAAAGACGGCCUUGUUGUCACUUAUAGAUGGAUCCGCGCUGCAUUAGCUAGUUGGUAAGGUAACGGCUUACCAAGGCAACGAUGCAUAGCCGACCUGAGAGGGUGAUCGGCCACACUGGAACUGAGACACGGUCCAGACUCCUACGGGAGGCAGCAGUAGGGAAUCUUCCGCAAUGGGCGAAAGCCUGACGGAGCAACGCCGCGUGAGUGAUGAAGGUCUUCGGAUCGUAAAACUCUGUUAUUAGGGAAGAACAUAUGUGUAAGUAACUGUGCACAUCUUGACGGUACCUAAUCAGAAAGCCACGGCUAACUACGUG
rnacentral:rRNA from 1 species